CUUUUGAACCCGGCUCUGAGACGCGUACACACCGCCCGUCACUCUCCCCUGUCGAAAUGCAAUAAAAUUACCUAAUGCUAAAGCCUUGACAAGGGGAGGCAAGUCGUAACAUGGUAAGUGUACCGGAAGGUGCACUUGGAUAAAAU
rnacentral:rRNA from 1 species